UGGAAAAGAAAAUAUGGUUCACUUUACAUAAAGGCUAAGCUAGCACUCCAGAAGCUAGCACUCUUUCCACAAUCCUGAUCAAUCAGCAUGCUUCACUCCCCAGAGUCCUGAGUGUAUCUUAGUUGUGAGGAUUGCAAUUAAGUUUGAUGUAGCCCAUGUCCCUCGGUUAGCCUCUCUCAUCUCAGAUCAGAUUAAGAAAAGACAAUGCUGAAGAACUAUAGGGACAUUCAAAUUCUGCUCCACCUGUAGAAAUGGGGGAAGCAGCAAUAGCAGUGGGGACCCCCACACAUACCUUGCCCAAGCACCUCCCCAACCGAGCUUGGGGGUGGGGCUUGGAGUGGAAUGAGUAUCAGGCCCCAUGGUCAGCAUUCCUUGAGCCCAGGCACCUAAAACUACCAUCAAAGGGAGAUCAUGGCACCAGCUAUCCCAGUCUUUAGCAGGUUCUGUCCAGCAAGUGCCUGGGAAGAAUCCAGGUGCCCCUGGUAGCAUCAAGCAUGCUAGUGUGAAGUGGGAAAGCUAGUCAGCCUCUGUAUUUGGCUCCAAACCAUGAACUUUUCAGUACUUGUUCAACUGGAAUAUUACCUGCUACCUAAUUCUGAGAUUCAGCACUCCCUGGAUGCUGCUGCUACCAUCUUCAAGUCACUUGUCUCCCCUCCUCAGUCUAGAUCCCACUAAGCAAGGUCAACUCUAUAUCCCUUAUCAGCCUGAAGUAGCUCCAGAAAAGGGACCUUUGUCCCUUUGUCCCAAAUGAAUUUGGGUCCCAAUUGUUAGAGCAGGGGAAUGAUACUAUGCAGCUUCUAGGUGGAAAUGGCCUUGGAAGUGAUGUAGUUAAAAAUGAUAUAUUUCUUCCCCUAACUUCUAGGGAAAAUGUAGUGAUAACCCUAAGGUCCUCUGGUCUUGGGAGUGCUGUUGUGCCACAAACAUUGCUGGCCAUUAGAUAACAAUUUGUUGGUUAGUGAUAACAAAGUUUCUGAGACAAUAAUGAGGUGCAUAUCAGACCACUCCUAAACUUCAUUUCUAAGUCAUAAAAUUAGUUUAACAAUAA